UUUCAUUUUCUUCCUUUUUUUAGGGCUGCAUUCGAGGCAUAUGGAAUUCCCAUGAGAAAAGCGCCCUCUCUGUACUGCGAAAACAAGAAUAUCUUUAUCACCAUAGAUUUGGAACAGACACUGCAAUGGUUCUGUACAAAACAAACUUACUAAAAUAAUCCUGUCUUCCACCAGUUCCCCCUCCAAUAUUCUCUCCUAGUCAUUCCCCCACAAUGUACUGCCCCUGGCCCAAACCCCCAAACCCCUUUGUCAUCACUUCUUCAUAAAUUGAUCAUUUCUUUGUCUAAAAGGCAUAAAAGUUUCUGCUCUGUUCUUCAUUAUCUUGUGAAAGCUUCAUGCACAUGUAAAAAUGUAAUAAAACUUGUUUGCUUUUCUCCUGUUAGUUCAUCUUAUGUCAGUUUAAUUAAUUCUUAGGUCCAGCUAGAGAACCCAGGAGGAUCAAGAAUUUUUCCUCCCCUACCACUCAAACUAAGUCACACACAUGCCAGGUUCUUAGGGCUGUGCCUGAAGCUCAGGAUCAAACCAAGUGUAAUGUGGGAGUAAAAAUAGCUCCCGUUCCCUGAAGGUUGGCCCUCCUGAGCUCCAGCCCCAUAUACCUGACAGCACACUGCUCUUUAGUUCAACCUGCAAAAGCCAUCUCCCCAUCUGCCCCACACACACCUGGGAAUAGCGCCAUCUCCCACUCAUUCUCGCAAGCCAGAAACCUGGACAUCACCCUCAGUUUUCCCCUUUCCCUCCCCUGCCCUCUACCACUUCCAGCCGUUCACCAGGACCUGCCCAUCUGACCUCCUAAAUCUUCCCUGGGAUCAAUCACUUCUCUCCCAUCCCCACAACCACAGAGCCAAGCAAGACCCCCACCAUCUCUGGCCUCGAACCACUGGUGUAGCCUCCUAACUAUUGUCUCCUGUUCCCCUAACCGCCAACUCCCCCCACCCCCAAUACCACAGCCAGAGAAACCAGUCUUGGGAACUGCAAAUCAUAACAGCAACAAUGAACACUCAGUGAAUGCUGACUUUGUGCUAGGCACUGCUCUGACCUUAUGCCUCCCCCACUUAAAAUCCUCCACUUUCUGUGGCACUCAGGACAAAAGCCCCCACCUCUUUGCUUAGGCCUCGAAGGCCCUGCAUGAGCUGGGCCACGGCUCUUUCUCUAUUUCCCCUGCUGGAUGGAAUUCUAAAGGGUCUCUUUCUGAACAAUUGUGUGCCUCAGUUUUCUGCUUUUAUUUCUGUGUGGAGAACUGAUGUCAAAGAUAAACACAGCCAGACAUUGGCUAAAGCAAUGAAAACAGAUUUUAUUCAGUAACUGAUAGUGAUGGAGGAGACACAGGUAGUUUUAGAAGUCCCAGUAAAGGAUCUAGAUAGAGAGGGGAAUCUGGGGGACUAUGGGAGAUCACUGUAAGUAAAUAAACUGCUCAAAAAAGCCAUCAGAACAAGGCAGCUUUGCUUCAUUAGUGGAGCCUAGAGAAUCACCUCAGGUCUUUGUGGUGGGGAUGGAAUGAGGCCUGCAUUCAGAGUCAGACCACGGGCAGGAGUUUGAGGACCACCCUUCUGCUGAUUUGAAUACACAACUUGCCUGAUACUAAGGAGGAGCUACUGCUCCCAGAAAGGAAGAGGGGGGCUUUUCCAACCCCCACUCCCCUUGGAGGAUAAAACUGUAGCCCACCGGAUCCUCUGGGCAGAGCUUCCGUGCCUGCCCCCUUGCUUCUCUCACAAGCAUCCUAUCCUAACAAAUCCAUUUCUUGCCUGUCGCUUUGUCUCUCGCUGAAUUCCUUCUGCGCAGAGUCAUGAAGAACCUGAACCUCAGUGAGUCCAGACACAGGGUGAGUGAUUCUAACUUA
rnacentral:lncRNA from 1 species